GAUGAACGCUGGCGGCGUGCUUAACACAUGCAAGUCGAACGAUGAAGCCCAGCUUGCUGGGUGGAUUAGUGGCGAACGGGUGAGUAACACGUGAGUAACCUGCCCUUGACUCUGGGAUAAGCCCGGGAAACUGGGUCUAAUACCGGAUAGGAGCGCCUGUCGCAUGACGGGUGUUGGAAAGAUUUUUCGGUCAUGGAUGGACUCGCGGCCUAUCAGCUUGUUGGUGAGGUAAUGGCUCACCAAGGCGACGACGGGUAGCCGGCCUGAGAGGGUGACCGGCCACACUGGGACUGAGACACGGCCCAGACUCCUACGGGAGGCAGCAGUGGGGAAUAUUGUCACAAUGGGCGGAACUCCUGAUGCAGCGACGCCGCGUGAGGGAUGACGGCCUUCGGUGUUGUAAACCUCUUUCAUC
rnacentral:rRNA from 1 species